AUUGAACGCUGGCGGCAUGCUUUACACAUGCAAGUCGAACGCUAACAGGCCGCAAGGUGCUGACGAGUGGCGAACGGGUGAGUAAUGCAUCGGAACGUGCCCAGUCGUGGGGGAUAACUACUCGAAAGAGUAGCUAAUACCGCAUACGAUCUAUGGAUGAAAGCGGGGGACCGUAAGGCCUCGCGCGAUUGGAGCGGCCGAUGUCAGAUUAGGUAGUUGGUGGGGUAAAGGCUCACCAAGCCAACGAUCUGUAGCUGGUCUGAGAGGACAACCAGCCACACUGGGACUGAGACACGGCCCAGACUCCUACGGGAGGCAGCAGUGGGGAAUUUUGGACAAUGGGCGCAAGCCUGAUCCAGCAAUGCCGCGUGCAGGAAGAAGGCCUUCGGGUUGUAAACUGCUUUUGUACGGAACGAAACGGCUCUGGUUAAUACCCGGGGCUAAUGACGGUACCGUAAGAAUAAGCACCGGCUAACUACGAG
rnacentral:rRNA from 1 species